rnacentral:rRNA from 1 species
AUAGCGGAGGAAAAGAAACCAACCGGGAUUGCCUUAGUAACGGCGAGUGAAGCGGCAAAAGCUCAAAUUUGAAAUCUGGUACCUUCGGUGCCCGAGUUGUAAUUUGGAGAGGGCAACUUUGGGGCCGUUCCUUGUCUAUGUUCCUUGGAACAGGACGUCAUAGAGGGUGAGAAUCCCGUGUGGCGAGGAGUGCGGUUCUUUGUAAAGUGCCUUCGAAGAGUCGAGUUGUUUGGGAAUGCAGCUUUAAGUGGGUGGUAAAUUCCAUCUAAAGCUAAAUAUUGGCGAGAGACCGUUAGCGAACAAGUACAGUGAUGGAAAGAUGAAAAGAACUUUGAAAAGAGAGUGAAAAAGUACGUGAAAUUGUUGAAAGGGAAGGGCAUUUGAUCAGACAUGGUGUUUUGUGCCCUCUGCUCCUUGUGGGUAGGGGAAUCUCGCAUUUCACUGGGCCAGCAUCAGUUUUGGUGGCAGGAUAAAUCCAUAGGAAUGUAGCUUGCCUCGGUAAGUAUUAUAGCCUGUGGGAAUACUGCCAGCUGGGACUGAGGACUGCGACGUAAGUCAAGGAUGCUGCAUAGACCUU